UCCGAGUUGACCCCGGCAGUCUCGCUAGAGUCCCCGGCAUAACCCGCUGGUAACUAGUGAUAGGGGUUGCGUUCGUUGCGGGACUUAACCCAACAUCUCACGACACGAACUGACGACAGCCAUGCAGCACCUCGCGACCAGCCCGAAGGAGACCCCCUUUCAGGGGUUGUCCGGCCGCGUUCGAGCCUGGGUAAGGUUCUUCGCGUUGCAUCGAAUUAAUCCACAUGCUCCACCGCUUGUGCGGGCCCCCGUCAAUUCCUUUGAGUUUCAACCUUGCGAUCGUACUCCCCAGGUGGGACGCUUAACGCGUUAGCUUAGACACUGCACCUGAAGCGGUGCAACAUCGAGCGUCCAUCGUUUACGGCGCGGACUAC
rnacentral:misc_RNA from 1 species